rnacentral:rRNA from 1 species
CCUACGGGUGGCUGCAGUGAGGAAUAUUGGUCAAUGGCCGCAAGGCUGAACCAGCAACGCCGCGUGAGGGAAGACGGCUCUACGGGUUGUAAACUCCUUUUGUCGGGGAGCAAAGCGAGUCACGUGUGACUCAUUGAGAGUACCCGAAGAAAAAGCAUCGGCAAACUCCGUGCCAGCAGCCGCGGUAAUACGGAGGAUGCGGAGGUUAUCCGGAUGUAUUGGGUUAAAAGGGGGCGCAGGCGGAGGUGCAAGUCGGCGGGAAAAUUGCGGGGCUAAACCCCGUACUGCCGUUGAAACUGCGUCCCUUGAGUGCGGGAGAGGUAUGCGGAAUGCGUAGUGUAGCGGUGAAAUGCAUAGAUAUCACGCAGAACUCCGGUUGCGAAGGCAGCAUACCGGAGCGCAACUGACGCUGAUGCACGAAAGCGUGGGUAUCGAACAGGAUUAGAUACCCUAGUAGUC